rnacentral:rRNA from 1 species
UUUGAACGCGAAGAACCUUACCUGGGUUUGACAUACACCAGAAAGCGGCAGAGAUGUCGCCCCCCUUGUGGUUGGUGUACAGGUGUGUGCAUGGCUGUCGUCAGCUCGUGUCGUGAGAUGUUGGGUUAAGUCCCGCAACGAGCGCAACCCUUAUCUUAUGUUGCCAGCGCGUAAUGGCGGGGACUCGUGAGAGACUGCCGGGGUCAACUCGGAGGAAGGUGGGGAUGACGUCAAGUCAUCAUGCCCCUUAUGUCCAGGGCUUCACACAUGCUACAAUGGCCGGUACAGAGGGCUGCGAGACCGUGAGGUGGAGCGAAUCCCUUAAAGCCGGUCUCAGUUCGGAUCGGGGUCUGCAACUCGACCCCGUGAAGUUGGAGUCGGCUAGUAAUCGCAGAUCAGCAACGCUGCGGUGAAUACGUUCCCGGGUCUUGUACACACGCA